rnacentral:lncRNA from 1 species
UAAGCAUGUGAGGGUUUACCUGUUGUAUUAUACAUUUUGCCAUUUUUGAAUUGUUAGAAGCAUAGAAUUGGGGAAACUGCCCCAAAAUGAUGUCUAAUACUAUUUCUGUCUAUGAGCUAAUUUUUACUAAAAAUUGUAGGUCAUUUGCACUGUAAGACUCAGACUCUUUUAUGACAUAGAUUUUUUAAAUUACCCAAUUACAGUUUCAGGCAUCAAUU